CCGGUUUGUUCAGAGUGGGUUAAAUCCUCAAUUUGAUAACCACCGAUUCCCCUUAAUUCAUAAUUAAGGAUCCGUGAUAAUCAAAGAACGUUUGUUCACUUUUUUUUCACCUUGAUUAACAAAUCAUGGAUUUUCUUCAAAUCGUUCCAUUUUCCAGUUUUGUUGUCAAAACUUAAUCAAGAAUUAAGUUUUUUUUUUUAUUUUGCUGACGUUUGUGACAUUUUGUUUGUUUAUUUUAAUUUAAAAAGAGCGUUUGCAGUUAGGAAGAAAUAUGUUAUAAUGUCAAGCCCAAAAGAAUUUCUCCAAGGCUUAAGAAAAAAAACUGUUGCAUAAAAAAUACAUUUUCGAGAAAGGAUGCAGCUUGAGAGGCAUUUUUGUACAUAGCUGAAGACAAUUUCAAUUACAUAUUUUUAUUUUGUUUUUGUGAAUUGCAAUAAGGAAACGAUCCAAUCACAAAAUAUAUUCUACAAUUUCAAUAAAUAUUUUAUUAUUAA